rnacentral:piRNA from 1 species
UGUGAUUCUACAGGCUCACACCUAUCAAA